GAGUUUGAAUCCCAUGUUGUGGUGAGUGAAAACAAAGAGAGAGAGGGAGUGGAGUUUAGAGAGAAAAUGGAGAUUUCUCCUAAAACUCAAGUGUCUUUCCUUUGUUAGUGUGCAUUUCGUCCUGUUAUAAGAGAGAGGGUAUUCUCAAUUGUUGCUCUCCUUAUUGCAAAAGAGAAAUUGUUGUAUCCUUUUGCUAUAGUGAAAUCCUUCUACAAUUUGCCUAUCAUCUUGUGCUUCACUCAUUUUCAUAGUUUCUACUUCAGUUGUAAUUGGGUGCCCCAUACCACAACGUUCCUAACAAAACUGAUGUCUACAGCUAUGGAGUGUUAAUGCUUGAAAUCGUAAGUGGUAACAAAAAUUUCAAAGCUGACGGCAAUUAUUUGGUAAAAGAUGCAUGGCAGCUAUGGCAAAAAGGUGCAGGCUAGAGCUUGUGGAUCCAAAACUGUAAGUCUCUCGUAUUAACAAACAUCAAAUGUUAAGAUGCAUCCAUGCUGGUCUGCUGUGCACGGCAGAAUGUGAAGAUGACCGGCCCACCAUGUCAGAUGCGAUAUAUAUGUUGAAAAAUGAAACAGUGCCUUUGCCUGAACCAACAAUGCCGGCCUAUAUACAGUGAUCUAACUAUUUCUCGUAUAGAUGCAAACGGACGGGAAACUAUGUCCCUAAAUGGUUUGUCAAUACUUGGCCAAAAUAUUAGCUUAACAAUAAACAGUAUAUGACUGUUUCCGAGUUUGGUGGACGUUAAUGUUGACAUGAGCUGUAUCAAUUAAUUUUAUUAUGAUUUA